UACGUAGGGUGCAAGCGUUGUCCGGAAUUAUUGGGCGUAAAGAGCUCGUAGGCGGUUUGUCGCGUCGGCUGUGAAAGCCCGGAGCUCAACUCCGGGUCUGCAGUCGAUACGGGCAGACUUGAGUGUUGCAGGGGAGACUGGAAUUCCUGGUGUAGCGGUGAAAUGCGCAGAUAUCAGGAGGAACACCGGUGGCGAAGGCGGGUCUCUGGGCAAUAACUGACGCUGAGGAGCGAAAGCGUGGGGAGCGAACAGG
rnacentral:rRNA from 1 species